AGUGAACGCUGGCGGCGUGCAAUACAUGCAAGUCGAACGAUGAAGCUUUUAGCUUGCUAAAAGUGGAUUAGUGGCGCACGGGUGAGUAAUGUAUAGCUAACCUGCCCCUUAGAAGAGAACAACAGUUAGAAAUGACUGCUAAUACUCUAUACUCCUUCUUAACACAAGUUAAGUCGGGAAACGAAUUUUGCUAAGGGAUGGGGCUAUAUUGUAUCAGUUUGUUGGUGGGGUAAUGGCCUACCAAGACUAUGACGCAUAACUGGUCUGAGAGGAUGAUCAGUCACACUGGAACUGAGACACGGUCCAGACUCCUACGGGAGGCAGCAGUAAGGAAUAUUGCGCAAUGGGCGAAAGCCUGACGCAGCAACGCCGCGUGGAGGAUGACACUUUUCGGAGCGUAAACUCCUUUUGUUGGGAAAGAAUAAUGACGGUACCUAACGAAUAAGCACCGGCUAACUCCGUGCCAGCAGCCGCGGUAAUACGGAGGGUGCAAGCGUUACUCGGAAUCACUGGGCGUAAAGGGCGCGUAGGCGGACUAUCAAGUCUUGAGUGAAAUCUGGUGGCUUAACCAUCAAACUGCUUGGGAAACUGAUAGUCUAGAGUAAGGGAGAGGUAGAUGGAAUUCUUGGUGUAGGGGUAAAAUCCGUAGAGAUCAAGAGGAAUACCUAUUGCGAAAGCGAUCUACUGGAACUUAACUGACGCUGAGGCGCGAAAGCGUGGGUAGCAAACAGG
rnacentral:rRNA from 1 species